AAAAGAAGAUGAGAAUGCCUCACUGACGAAAGGUACCAAGGCACAUGGCUAAACAUAGACAAGAAUUAUGAGCUAAUUUAAGUUGUAAGAGCUAGUUAAUAAUAAGCCUGAACUAGUAGGUCAAAUAGUUUAUAAUUAAUAUAAGACUCUGUGUAUUUCUCUGGGACUAAACAGCUGCAGGACCAGACAGGACAGAAACUUCCAUCCAUGAAUGGCACCUGACAUGAGGCAUGGCUCCCAGACUAGUCCGAGUGUGACGAGCUGAACAGUUCAACUCUCCCAUGAACUGAAGCGGAGAAUUUGGAGCGCCGGUAACCUGCCUAUUGGAACUUUGCACUAGAUCAUAGUUAUGGAAGAAUAAAUAUUCACCAAAUGAUUUUACCUACUGUACAAAUGGACCAACAGCACCUAUUGACCUAAGCAAAGGUAAUGAGGGACUGC